rnacentral:rRNA from 1 species
AACGAACGCUGGCGGCAUGCCUAACACAUGCAAGUCGAACGAGACCUUCGGGUCUAGUGGCGCACGGGGGCGUAACGCGUGGGAAGCUGCCCUUAGGUUCGGAAUACCUCCCCGAAAGGGGUGCUAAUACCGGAUAAUGUCUUCGGACCAAAGAUUUAUCGCCCUUGGAUGGGCCCGCGUUGGAUUAGCUAGUUGGUAGGGUAAAAGCCUACCAAGGCGACGAUCCAUAGCUGGUCUGAGAGGAUGACCCGCCACACUGGGACUGAGACACGGCCCAGACUCCUACGGGAGGCAGCAGUGGGGAAUAUUGGACAAUGGGCGAAAGCCUGAUCCAGCAAUGCCGCGUGAGUGAUGAAGGCCUUAGGGUUGUAAAGCUCUUUUACCCGGGAUGAUAAUGACGGUACCGGGAGAAUAAGCACCGGCUAACUCCGUG